rnacentral:lncRNA from 1 species
UCGAAUGAUCGGAGAUUGUUGAAUUUUCUUUCCAAAGUCAAGAUCAAAAUGGAUCCGAUCAAAAUGGAGAGUUAGUCAAAGGAUCAAAUGGCAUCUUCAAUUAGAGAAGACUAUUCAAAUCAUGCAAGGUGGUGACCAUCUAUCUGCGUGUAAGGUUAGCUACCUGAGCUCAGUAAUUAGUUUUCUCCUCAAACUUAACUUUGUAAUAAUCAUGAUAGCAAACAGUUAAUAAUCAGCUUAAGCAUAAACCCUUCGAAUAUACUUCCGAGUUCCUGUUUUGUAGACUAUAAACAAGGUUUGAGUUGAAACGAUCUUAUGCAGAUUAAAGAACAUCCAUCUACUGGUCAACCACUAAUUCGAUCUUCUUCUUUCAAACCUUUUUCAUUUGUACAAUCUUAUGCAGAUUUGUUCAUGUAAUCAAAUUGGCAAAGAAAGAAAUGAAAAACGAUUAAUAUUAUAUAGAUAGAGAACUCUAAUACAUGCUUACAUCGAAACAUAAGUUGAUAUUACAAAUUAAACUCGAUUGACCUUAAAACAACUACUAUUAAAUACAUAGACUCGUAAUACUGGGCAUACACAAACGCAAUGGUAGUUACCAGUAGAUACACCUCUAUGUCCCUUAGGAAUAAUACUAGACUCGAUAAUAAUAAGGAAAGAAAACACAAAGCGAACCUAUAAUUUACCAGAGCAACAGAGGACUAAAACAGAAUUAAAAAAAAACCAAAGACAAGACACAGAUUACUUUUAGAAUUACAAAAGCCUAAAAAAACAAAUACUUCCUACACAAACACUAAACCCCUAAGAAGAGAAACUAAGACCUGUUAUAAAAGAUAUUUCGACCUUGCCCCUUGAAAAAAUAAGGGAAGAUUCGAAACUGGUUCAUAACGAAGAUGCGUUUCUUCAUCUUCUAGAUUCGUCGUCUGUAGAUGCUUUGUUGUAGAUUAAAAUCGGACGAUCGGUAACACUUGAAACAGAAAUGGAUCAUUGGAGAGACAUACAUGCGACGUCUAGGCGAAGCAGCUUGAUGAUAUGGUUUGUAGCGUCCUUCUUCGUGGUGAAGAAGGCUGGAAGAGGGACGUCGCUCGGAGGCGGCGAGGUCAUGGUCACAGGACCGGCGUAAAA